GAUGAACGCUGGCGGCGUGCUUAACACAUGCAAGUCGAACGAUGAUGCCCAGCUUGCUGGGUGGUUUAGUGGCGAACGGGUGAGUAACACGUGAGUAACCUGCCCUUGACUCUGGGAUAAGCCUGGGAAACUGGGUCUAAUACCGGAUACGACCAUCUGGCGAAUGUUAUGGUGGUGGAAAGCUUUUGUGGUUUUGGAUGGACUCGCGGCCUAUCAGCUUGUUGGUGGGGCAAUGGCCUACCAAGGCGACGACGGGUAGCCGACCUGAGAGGGUGACCGGCCACACUGGGACUGAGACACGGACCAGACUCCUAUGUGGGGCAGAAGUGGGGAAUAUUGCACAAUGGGAGCAAGCCUGAUGCGACGACGCCGCGUGAGGGAUGACGGCCUUCGGGUUGUAAACCUCUUUCAGUAAGGAAGAAGCGAAAGUGACGGUACCUGCAGAAGAAGCGCCGGCUAACUACGUG
rnacentral:rRNA from 1 species